rnacentral:rRNA from 1 species
UACCAGCACCCCGAGUGGUCGGGACGAUUAUUGGGCCUAAAGCAUCCGUAGCCGGUUUUACAAGUCCCCCGUUAAAUCCAGCUGCUUAACAGAUGGGCUGCGGAGGAUACUAUAAGACUAGGAGGCAGGAGAGGCAAGUGGUACUCAGUGGGUAGGGGUAAAAUCCGUUGAUCCAUUGAAGACCACCAGUGGCGAAGGCGGCUUGCCAGAAUGCGCUCGACGGUGAGAGAUGAAAGCUGGGGGAGCAAACCGG